CUUAAGUAAAUUUCUAACUGAUAUGCAUUCAAAGUUACGUAAUUAAAAUGCCAUAACUUGAUAUGAUCUGUUCUCAAUAUAUACGAAGACGAGUUGUAGGAAUGUAAAAGAAAACAACACCUUGUACAAAGUGCAGGCCUUUAUUUUGCACAUACAUUUGUUCAUAACGAGUAACACGACAGCAUUUCUUAACAUUGCUCGUACCUCUUCGAUUACGUCGAUCACUAUUCGAAUAUGUGUGUACGUACCGCGAUAGACGAAGCAAAAAACAUUCCGGAAACAAGUCAAACGUGUUAUACGUAACCCAGGCCAUAAGAACAACUUUUCGUUAAAACGAGAACAAUUGUUUUAAAACGGUCAUCGAUUUAACGUUGAACUGACGAUGAAACAUGUUACGAGACUUUUUACCAACUGUUCCUAGGGACAGUUAAAAAUCGAUUAACGAGAGAGGAAUUUUUUAUUUGUAUCAGGAGCCGUGUUACUUUCGUUCAUCAGGUGCGAAAAAAAGAAUGAAUAAAUAAAUACCUAUAAUUAAACGAUGAAGAAAAAUUGUUAGGAUCAAGAAGAACAAAAAGAAAUUGAAAAGUGCACCGCGAUUCGAAACCCGCAGAUUUGUCGAAGCGGUCAAUAAUAGAUGAGUUAAAAUUGUUUUCUUUGGUUUAAGCUUGCAUGCGAAAAAUCUUUUUGUAAUUGAUUUUUAAAACUCAUGUAACAAGAAAAAAUAAAUAUAGAGAUUAAAUAA